UUUAGUAAACUUGCCACAUGUCAAAACCAAGUGGAAGUAUUUUUAAAAUUUGAAACCAAAUUAGGCUCCCUACCUCCAAUAUGCAACGCCUCUUUUUUUAUUAGUUUUUGUCCCAUUUUUAUUUUGUUUUUCUUUAUUAUUAUUUAUUUAUUUAUUAUUAUUUUUGUUAAAUUAUGAUUAACUAUAAUUAUUGGGUUGGGCCAAUGUAUGUUAAUGUUUGCACCAUGUCUGUUCAUUUCUACACCCAUUUUUUUC
rnacentral:lncRNA from 1 species